GACGAACGCUGGCGGCGUGCUUAACACACGCAAGUCGAGCGGAAAGGCCACUUCGGUGGUACUCGAGCGGCGAACGGGUGAGUAACACGUGAGUAAUCUGCCCCUGGCUUUGGGAUAGCCACCGGAAACGGUGAUUAAUACCGGAUACGACCACUUCUCGCAUGGGAUGGUGGUGGAAAGUUUUUUCGGCCAGGGAUGUGCUCGCGGCCUAUCAGCUUGAUGGUGGGGUAAUGGCUCACCAUGGCUUCGACGGGUAGCCGGCCUGAGAGGGUGACCGGUCACACUGGGACUGAGACACGGCCCAGACUCCUACGGGAGGCAGCAGUGGGGAAUAUUGGACAAUGGGCGGAAGCCUGAUCCAGCAACGCCGCGUGAGGGAUGACGGCCUUCGGGUUGUAAACCUCUUUCAGCAGGGACGAAGCGCAAGUGACGGUACCUGCAGAAGAAGCACCGGCCAACUACGUGCCAGCAGCCGCCGCGG
rnacentral:rRNA from 1 species